rnacentral:rRNA from 1 species
GGGUCAGUAGGUUGGUCGUGCCACCGGUACGUACUGGUCUCACUGAUUCCUCCUUCCUGAAGAACCGUAAUGCCAUUAAUUAGGUGUUGCGGGGAAACAGGACUGUUACUUUGAAAAAAUUAGAGUGUUUAAAGCAAGCUAACGCAUGAAUACAUUAGCAUGGAAUAAUGAAAUAGGACGAUCGAUCCUAUUUUGUUGGUUUCUAGGAUUGACGUA